rnacentral:rRNA from 1 species
AUGUUGUCGUCGCACCCGCACGAGGCGGCCAUGCUGCCGUACGUGCCGCGGCCGCCGUCGCUGCUGGUGGACCGCCGCUACAGCACCGGCGCCGAGGUGGCGCCCAACUGCCCGCGCUGCGACUCGCCCAACACCAAGUUCUGCUACUACAACAACUACAGCCUCAGCCAGCCGCGCUACUUCUGCAAGGGCUGCCGCCGGUACUGGACCAAGGGUGGGUCUCUCCGGAACGUGCCCGUCGGCGGCGGAUGCCGGAAGAACCGCCGGGGGAAGUCGUCCGUGAGGUCGGCGUCCGACUCUUUCUCCGGCGUCCGCGACGCCACGUUCGGCCAUGGAGGGUUCCCCGGCCCGCUCCGGCCGGACAUGGUCCUGGAAGGCAUGGUCGGCAACCCGGCGAACCCUGGCCAGGUGAUGCACGACGUGCCCACCGCGCCCGACGGCUCGUCCAUCGACCUCGCAAUGCUCUACUCCAAGUUUCUGAACAACCAGCAACCGGCCGGCGACGGUAGCCUUGUCGGCUCCGUCACGCCGGAGUCGGCCGGUGGGCACGUCGACGAGACGUUCGACACGUUCAGCGCCUCCAGCGACAUGAGCCCCGCCGGCGUUCUGGCGCCCGCGCAGUUCGACGCGAGCCCGGACGGGUUCCUCGAAUGGUCCCGACCGGUGAGCAGCGCCGACCCAACUUGUACGGCCAGCCCAGCUACCGCAACCACCAUGCUGUGCACCGACGAGAGCGUGCAAGCUGCGCUCGGCGAGCUCAACUUCGCCAUGGAUCAGAGCUGUUUCGACUCGUUGGGGUUGCCCACGGACGGUGCCGCCGCUAACCUCUCGUCGUGGUGCUCGAUCGUUCCGAGCUUGUCGACAUGGGAGGAGCCCAAGUACGACUCGCUUGAUUCGUUCCCUGACGACACCCUCAGCCUCCAUGACGGAAUCCUUGCUGCCGAUCAUGACUGGAGCGCGGAUUGCCAAGGAUUGGAAGCUCUCUACAUGCCGUAA